CUUACACACUGCGAUGUCUAUCGGGGCCGUAUUUAAAAUAUCGAAAUAUCGAUUUGUAUUUACGUGAUUUGCGCUGCAAAUGAAUGCGUCAAGACUUCGCGUGACGGCAUAAUGGCCAUGGGGCGUCCAGCGAACAUGAAAUAUUUUAGCACAUGGGUACAAACGUUCUAGCGAUUGUAUGAUUUAGUUUUGAAAAAAAGGAAUAGACGCU